ACUCUUGACCUCGGAUCAGGUAGGGAUACCCG
rnacentral:rRNA from 1 species